rnacentral:lncRNA from 1 species
AUAAGCUGAGGACAGAGGAAUAAGACGGAGAUGAGUUAUUAUCGAACCAAGGGAGAAUUUCCAUCUUAAAAGCCACUACAAGAAAGAAAGAUUAUAAAAGCUGAUUCUUCUUGAGGCUGCUCUCCUGCUUUGUCUGUCCUGUUCUCUUCUUAGUGGGUGAUGUCCCAGCAGCUCUAACCCUCAGACUUCAGCACCUCUCUAGUUAACAGGCA